ACUGUGUUAUAAUUUAAAACUCUUAAUUAUGUUAGUCUUUAAAAAAAAAUGAAGCUCACAAAAAUACACUUGUUUACAGUGCAAAUGAUUUUUUAAUGGAAAUAGGGAUUUAGGAUUUCAUUUGCAGGAAAAACAUGGGCAACCUACCCAGUUCGUAAAAUUGCAAUUCAAAAACUCUUUAGAUUUUACUGUCUGGAUGGCACAGGAAGAGACACAAAAUAAUAUUCAGUACUGCAGUCACAGGAGUACAUAGUAGAGAUAUAAGAAAACAGCUGUUCAACAUCACCUGACACCGUUUAGUUUUUAGAAAAUGAAAAGUCUUUAGAUUGAAUGCGAUCUGCAGUAUCUUGCAUUGCUACAUAAUGAAUGUGUUUAUAUAUGGUAUUUUUUAUUGAAUAAUCUAUACAGGAACAACUAAAUGAAUGUAUACAUAUAUUGCAGACAUUGCAUUUAGUUUUUUAGAGCAGCAAGUUUUUUUGUGUUUCAACAAGGUACAGUAGACUCGCGAUUAUCCGAGUCUCGGUCAUCCGAGCCCCUCGGUUAACCGAGGCAAAAGUAAUAACAGGUGAGUUACAAUUUUCAACCUUGACGCAACAUCGCCGAUUCAAAAUCAAAAAGAGGAAUAAAGCUUAUGCAAAAUUAAAGACUUUUUUAAACAGUAAUAUUGAUACGGUAAAUGUUUUUAUCUUUUAUAGACAGUACUGUAUUAAUUUUGUCAUUAAAAUAUCCACAGCUAUGAUUAUUUACGUGUUUUUCUAUCAAUAUAACCAAUCUCAGUGUUAACCGAGUUUUUCCGUAUCCGAGGUAGUUACGGUCCCAGUUACCUCAGAUAAUCGCGUGUCUACUGUAUUCAGUUUUUUUUUUUCUUUUAGUAUAUACACAUUAAUAUUAUCUUGUAAAAUAGCAAGCUAAUACAGUUCGGUAUCUAGACGUUAUGGAGCAUUCAACAGGUUUACCUUUUUUAAGCUUUAUAACCCUUUCAACAGUUUUAUUCCUUAAAAACAAUAACAACUGUUGAAUUUUAAUUCCAUAAUCCUUCCUAUAACAAUAGGUGCAUUGUUGGAAGUUAUUACAGUAGUUCUGCUGGAAAUACUUACCAAAAUUGUAUCUGCAUCAUUUAGAAUUUUACCCAAACACCUAUUAAUACUCUAUCUGAAUCUAACAUGUAUUGCAGCUCUUUCAAUGUCUUGUAUACAUAGGAUUUUUUCAGAAUCAGAUAUUUCAUUAAGAUUUACUUGCCAUGUCUAUGUACCAGGGACAUAACAGUCUAUUAGGAACAGAACCCAUUACAUUCAGGUUGUAAAAAGUGUUAGUUAUGUCUGAUAUGAAAACAUUUGACUAUAUAAUACCAGCACACUCAUGUAUUUUUUCAAAAAAAGUUGGUAAAUAAAAGUAUUUUUUAUGAGCCCAUUAGUUGCGAUAAGCGAUUUACCAAACUUAAUUAAUAUUUCCUUUUGCACAGUAUUCAUGGAAACACAUAAGACAAAAAUCAUUAUUGUUUAAUUCGGGAGGAUUAUCAAUAAUUGAAUCGUUUAUUUCAGAAAGGGGUCAAGUCACAAGUAUCCACUUUUGAGAAAAUCAAGUUUACACACUGUUUACAUUCAACAAACAAUCACAUUAUAUAAAAUAAAAAUUCUACCUAGCAACCUGGAGUAUUUGUUAAAAAAUGUUGUAUUUUUUAAAAAUGUAUCUUGUUAAAUUGUUUAAGAAAAAAAAUUAAUUUUUUGCACUCAUUUUGUCAAGAUUUGUCACUUGACCUCUUUCUGAAAUAAACGAUUCAAUUAGUAUGCCCUGUUGUUUGUAAAAUAAUAUUGGACAUAACCCGGUCUGUAAGCAUUCACUUACCCACAAAUGAACACUGGUUGCGUCAUCUUUGUGCCUACAUCCAUCUUUCAAAUCAACGUCAUAGGAGUGUUUAAUGUUCGUGUUAUCUUUUCUUGUAAGUAAAUCAACUCUCAAUAAUAUUUAAAAAUGGAUUAGUGGUAACAUUUUUGUUUUAAAUUAUAUUGUGUAUAUGUAUAGCUAUUUGUAUAACAAGGGAGGAAAGUGUAACUUUUCCUCCCGAGAAUGAAGUUUACUGCCCGACGCGUAGCGGAGGGCAGUAAUCAUUCAAGGGAGGAAAAGGCACUUUACUCCCAUGUUAUACAUAUGGGUUUUCCACCUUCCUCAAAUAACAAGUAAUUUUUUCAUUUUUACUUAAUUUAUUUAUGUAACUAACCAACAAAAUUUAUUAGAACUAAAACAACAAGUAGGUACACUAUAACUGUCAACUGUCAAAUAUAAGUCAAAUUAUUAAUGUAAACAUUGUUAAAUCAAAAUAACAAUUUAAUGUUUUUUACCAAUCUGCAAAAUACAGGAUGUUUUAUAAAUAAACGUUAAAAUGUAUAGAUACUUCGUAAUAGAAAAUAGAUAUUAUACAGGGCGUCAAUAAGUUAUAUUUCAUGAAUGAAAUACCAUGACGUCACUUUUACUUUUCCUCCCUAGGGAGGAAAAAUAUUUUCCUCCCUAGGGAGGAAAAGUACAACUUUGCUCCCUACAAUCAGGUCCGGAAAAGUAUACUUUCGGUAGAGGUAGGUGGAAAAAUAUUUUACUUACAUUUUUGAAUAUGCCCAUAAUGUGUUUUAAAAUAUGUUACUUUUGUGUAUUGUAAUAUUCCUGCACAACAAUCAGUUUAAAUAUUUUUAGAUAUUAGUAUUUGAUUAGUACACGAAAUGCAGAGAUGUUCUCUCUUCUAUCUUAAGAGCUGAUUUAAUCUCUACUUGUAUCUGUAAAGUUUAUCAUUUUUCCCAUAGACAAUUUCAACACUUCCGGUUCCUCAGCGUCUAUAUCCAAACCUGUUACGAUGACAUAAUCAUAUUUCUCUUCCCUUUCUCUAGGUAAUCUAGUCUAGUAAUUAAUUCUCGAACUGUCUUGUUUGUAUUAAAUAUCUUAAUUAUGUACUUAUUUUAUUUUUAUAAGGAAAAUUAAUAAAUCAACCAUAUGCGGCACAGGAUACAAAUGUUUUCGGAAAUAUAUUUAUAAGAAUUUAAUUACCACUUUUGUAUACAACAUAUCGAUACAUUUUUGGCAAAGUAGCGUAAGUGACAUUUUUGAAAAUCAUGUUUUUCCCAUUAAACUAACGCUAUUAUUAUUCAGAAGGUACUGCCAAACUUCUAAACAAUAAUAGUGUUAGUUUAAUGGAAAAACAUGUUUUUCCCCAAAAAUGUCACUUACGUUACUUUGCCAAAAAUGUAUCGAUAUAUAAUAAGUAAAAACUAUUUUUAUAGCUAGGAAUUACUUUAUUGAACAGUCUUAACCUUCGGAUGACCAAGCGGGGGAAAUUGUGACCCCAGCUUAUGUUUUUCUUUAAUAAAUUCAAAAGUAUUUUCAAUUUUUAACUCAUUAUUUUUUUAUUUGACUUUAAUAUCAUUCUAGAUAUCCUCAUAUUUUGAAAUAAAAAGAAUUCCCUAUAUUUUACGAAUAAAAAAUAUAUUCUGAAGUUGAUGUUUAGUAAAAUAGCGUCUAUUAUGUGGAAUUCCAAGUAGUGUUACGCUAAUGACGUCGACUUUGCAAAGUAACAAGGCACUUACUCAACAUACACACUACACAUGACACUAAUACUCAUGUUGUGACUGGCUGAAUGACAUAAAGUCCAUGCCAUAAAAAAAUUAAAAAAAAACUUAUUUUUUUGUUAAAUGUUAUUUUUGACAUUUUUGACCAUCCCCCCCCCUUGGUCAUCCGUGUAACAAAAAAAAGGUUGGUCAUCGGAAGGUUAAACCUGUUCAUAAAUUUUGUUACUAUAUUUUUUAACUCCGAUUAUAACAAUAAUAACUUUUUAGUUUAGAUUUAGGUCAAAGUGUGUAAUGUCAUGUUUUAUGUAUAGUAUUUUUACUACAAAAGCGAUAUUACGUAGGUCAAAAUUUUUGACGUAAGAGAACUGUCAAAACAUUAGAAUGUGACUUUUCAUUAUUGUCAUUUUAUUAUAAACAUGGCAAUAAUGAAGUCACAUUCUAAUGUUUUAACAGUUAUCUUACGUCAAAAAUUUUGACCUACGUAAUAUCGCUUUUGUAGUAAAAAUACUAUAUUUUUUAACAACACAUUUGUAGGUAGCAAAUCAUAUUUGUUAUUCUUAUCUUAUUUUAAUUAUAUUCA